UUUUUUGUCUUUUGGUAUGACCCAUGCUCUUCUUUUUCCUCCAAAACCCAACAUCGAUACUUCUUUCUUACCGUUCUGGUAGUACCUCCUCAGAAAUUCCUACGAAGAAAUCGAACGAUGUUGAUGAUGAGAAUCGCGGCGUGACCCCGUCAAUUAUUCGUUUCUAGGUCUUUUUGGUUUGGCUGGGAACCGGAUUGAGUGAAGGAUCCAAGGGGAAUAUGUUGGGGAUGGAGAUGGUUAUUUGAGCAUGAGGUGGUUCCAUGUUUCUAUUUGAUCGGAAAGUGCUACAAGAUUUCCGUAAAGAUAGAGGAAGAAGAAGGAUGGUUAAAGAAACUCAUGAAAAGAUGAAGGAAAGGAAAAUGCAAGAAGAUGUUGUGUCAGAGCUGCAGAAGAGCAUAGAAAUUUCGGUAACCUACUCCAAUUCCGAGGGAGCUCUCAGUAAUAGGAGGUUGUACAAGAACUUUGUGACCACUGGUUAUCUUCGUCGAAGUCAAUUCAAUUAAAAAACCUUUGCCCAUUACUUCAUGACUACAAGCGCAGUGUUACCCGCAUUAAAGAAUUUUGCAUGAUCUCUUUCACAUUGUACGUACGCAUGUGAGGAUGGUCUAAAGGAAUUUAUAAUAGGGAAACGUGGAACCUUGGUAUCUAUUGCACGACAGCACAUCCGUUAAUAUUUGCCAGCUUUCUCUGAUAUCAGAAUUAUGGUCAUCAUUCAGCUUGCCUGUUGCUAACAGACAUGUUCACAUUGCUCCUAUUCUGCAUUUCGUGGAGCAACUUUGCUUGGCUCUCAACGAUGAAUUCAGAAAGUAUCUUUUUGAUAUACUUCCCUUUUGUAUUAAAGUUAUUACUGAUGCGGAGAGACAAUGACUACACAUAUGUUAUUCCUAUUCUCCACACCUUGAAGAUUUUGGUGAUGAGCAUAUGCAUCUUCUUUUUCCUGCACUUAUUCGAUUGUUUAAAGUGAACACCUUAGUAGAAGUAAGACGUGGUGCAAUCAAAACUCUUACAAGAUUGAUACCUUGUGUGCAGGUUAUUGGGCACAUAUCUUCGCUUGUGCAUCACUUGAAGCUUGUCUUGGAUGGGAUGGUGAUGUGGACUAUUCACUUCUUGUGAACUUUAAAAGGUUGGAUGAUAUUCAAUUGUCAAGGCUAAUUUUCCAUCGAAAGCUUGCAUAAUGAUCUUGCACAGACUGCCCCAAGGCUUAGCUCGAGUGGAAAAAGGUGGUAGAUUUGUGGCUUAGGUCACAGGUUCAAGCCCCGUACCGUUCAAAGCGAAGUUUGGCAUUUAAGUGGAGAAGGGUAGAGGGACGGACCCAUACUCCAUUGAGUUUAGAAGGUUAUGAUUGGUCCAAAGGGAGGGUCACAAACGGUUUCUCGGAUAUCAAAAAUUAUCUUUUUGAAGAGACUUUCGAGAACUUCGGAAGUACUGAUGACAAGUGAUAGCUCACCAAUAGGGAUAAUACUGUUUUCUUGAAUAAAUGAAGUGCAUACUCCAUAUUUCGUCGCACCUCACCUAUAGCAGGGCCUGUCUACACAAGAUUCAGCUAAUUAUUUCAGCGUUGUUUCUCCAAACUUGCUGAAGGAAUCUUGUCUUACUUCGCCGAGAAGGUCGGGAUCUGUGAUACGUUCCAGUUGUCUCGUCUCGUGCAAAUUCAUUGCCCAGUCAGCUAAGUUGACCUGCUCCCUCAGAAGAGAUCGAUCUAGGGAAGGCCUAGCACAAAAAACUUCACAUAAAAUGGUCAUGGUGAAACUGUUAAAGAAACUCACAAAAAGGUGAAGGUAAAACGAUAGUGCGAGAAAGCGAAGGAUGUUCUUGUGCAAGAGAGUAAUGGGAAGGAUGGUGAUGCUAAUUAUUCACUGCUUGUAAACUUGAAAAGGUUGGACCCUUUGGGGUGGCCCAGUGGUUUGAGCUUGGGACUUCCAUAUUGGAGGUCUCAAGUUUGAAACUCCUUGACAGCGAAAGCAAGGGUUUUGCCUUCUAAGUCGAGCUCGUCGCAUCAGGCUCGCCUACUGCGGGUCACCUGUCCUAUGUGGUUUGCGAGCUAUUGCAUAGUAGCGGGGAUUUUACCUUGUGCGCACCCAAAGGGUAGCGGCUGCGGGUUCCUUGUCAUAAAAAAAAACUUGGAAAGGUUGGAUGAUCUUCAAUUGUCAAGGUGAAUUUCCAUUGAAAUGUUGCAUAAUGAUCUUGCACAGACUUCCCCAAGUCUUAUAUCAAGUGGAAAAAGGUGGUGGAUUUGUGUCUUAGGUCUCAGGUUCAAGCCCUACACCAUGCAAAGUAAAGCCCUUUAUUUAAGUGGAGAAUGGUAGAGGGGUGGACCAUUAUCCACCGAGUUUAGAAGUCAAUGAUUGGUCCAAAGGGCGGGUUACAGGCGGAUUUCUCGAUUAUUAAAAAUAAAAAGAUCUUGCAGAGACUUUUGAUAACUCCAGAAGAUUUGAUGACAAGUGAUAGCUCGACAAUAGGGAUGGUACUGUUUUCUUGAACGACAGGCUCUUGGAAAUGAAGUGCAUAGUCCGAAUUCCAUAACACCUCACCGAUAGAUGGCCUGUCUAUACCAGAUUCAGCUAAGUGAAAACUAAGUAUUUCACUGCUCUUUCUCCAAACUUGUUGAAGGAAUCUUUUCUUACUUCGCCUAGAAGAGAUUGAUCUAGGGCAGGCCUAACAAAGAACUUCGCAUAAAAUGGUCAUCAUUAGAGGAAGAAGGAUGGUGAAACUGUUAAAUAAUUGUUAAAGAAACUCACUAAAUGAUGAAGGUAAAAGGAUAGUGCGAGAAAGCGAAGGAUAUUCUAGUGCAAGAGAGUAAUGUGAAGGUACUAUUGCCUACACACUAUCAUAAACUCCGGAGCAGUGCUGGACCAAUCUAUAUUUUCUUUGUCUCCAAGUUCAGUGCCUUGUUUGAACUACUUGAGUUCUUCCUCACUACGAGAUCUCCAAAAGGUCUUCGUGCAAGUCAACUUGCAUGUUGUGUUAUUUCAGAAUAGUGGUGGAUAUUCAGGCAAGCAACCUCUGCAUCCACAGAGCUUUCUUCUUUAGGGUACUCUCUAGAUGAAUCCAUUCUUUAAAAGUUCUGGAAGCUUUGUGAACGCCAACUAAAUAUUCCAGGUGGUUCCAUGUUUCUAUUUGAUCGGAAUUUGGGAAGUACUACAAGAUUUCCGUAAAGAUGGUCACUAUUGGAGGAAUAAGAAGAUGGAUAUGGUGAUGACGAAUACUCACUGCUUGUUGACUUGAACAUGUUGUAAGAACAUCAAUUGUCAAGGCAAAUUUCCAUUGAUAGCUUGCAUAAAGAUAUUGCAGAGAUUCUCAAAAACUUCAGAAGUAUUGAUGACGAGGUUUGUGUUGGUUUUUUCAGAACAAUGGUGGUUGUUUCAGGAAAGCAACCCUCGCAUCCACAGAGCUAGAAGUUUUGAGGUACUCUCCAGAUGAAUCAUUCUUCAAAAGUUCUGGAAACUUUGCUAACACCAACUACAUAUUCCAGGAUUUUAAAUCUUCUGUCUUGGUGAAAGACGCAUUUUUUUAGAAUGGUGAGAAAGAAGCUCGUAGAAUCUUGUGUAAAAGCAUUGAACCCCUGUGCUACUGCGAGUCGUGGGAAGUUACAGGACUUCGUCCCUAACAAACCAAAGGGGAUUAAAGAUGAGCUCAUAAUCAAACUUAAAUUUGCUCUAAUAGAAGUUGUUGUAUGUGCCCUUAACAAAUUGAAGGUUGUAUGAACUUCAAUUGUCAAGGAAAAUUUCCAUUGAAAGCUUGCAUAAUGAUAUUGCAGAUAUUCUCAAAAACUUUAAAAGUAUUUAUGAUGAGGUGCAGAGAUUCUCAAAAACUUUAGAAGUAUUGAUGACGAGGUUUCUGUUGUUUUUCUAGAACAAUGGUGGCUGUUUCAGGAAAGCAACCUUUGCAUCCAUAGAGUUAGAAGCUUUGGGGUACUCUAGAUAUAUCCAUUCUUCAAAAGUUCUGGAAACUUUGCUAAUGCCAACUACAUAUUCCAGAUGUUCUUGAAAGCCUUGGAGCAACUUUGAAUGUUGCUAAACCAACAAAAGGUUCAAGUGCGGCUAAAUUUUGACUGGGGUUGUAGGCCUUGCUGCUGCAAAAGGAGCAAGAAUUGUUGGUGCUUCAAGGAUAAUUGGUGUUGAUUUAAAUGCUAGCAAAAUUGAGCAAGGUUCGGUCCUCAACAUUCAAAUUACGUGGACAUCAAUUCCCAAUCCGUAUUAGCAAUACCUUGGUCAGGUCCUCAACAUUCAAAUCAUAUGGUGAUCAGGGAAUUGAUUCGUAUUCAACAAUAUUAGUGUUAUUGUCUCAGAAUAGUGAAGAUGGUAAUGUUGAAAGAUUUGACUUCAUCAUAGUUGAUGAAGAGAAUAAGUCAUUUGAAGGCAUUUCUUUUAAUUCCUUCUUUGGAGAGGGAACUGGAAUAUUUCGUUAUAAAUGAGGAACCUACUUGAUACGAUCUUGCAGGAAAAAAGAUUAAGAAUAAAGAGAGUGAUAGGGUAUACACCUAUAUUUGUUGAUCUGGAGCCUGCUAUUGUGGAUGAAGUUAGGAUUGGACAUUCAUGUAACUCUUCCAUCUUUUGCGGAAUAUUUUCCUAAAUAAGGAACCUAUUUCUUAGAGAUUGUUUAAAAUAUGUUCUUUUUAAUAGUAUAAUUGUAUUUCAUCUUAUUGGUAUAAGUUGGCAAAUACAUGUAGUAUCAAUUGGAUAAGAAUAUUUUUUUUAUAACAUGAUAAGUUCAGUUUUUGUAUUUAACUAUGAAAAUUUAUAUGGAUAAUGGUUGUUUUUUAUGUGA